AACGAACGCUGGCGGCAUGCCUAACACAUGCAAGUCGAACGAGACCUUCGGGUCUAGUGGCGCACGGGUGCGUAACACGUGGGAAUCUGCCCUUUGCUUCGGAAUAACAGUUAGAAAUGACUGCUAAUACCGGAUGAUGUCGAAAGACCAAAGAUUUAUCGGCAAAGGAUGAGCCCGCGUAGGAUUAGGUAGUUGGUGGGGUAAAGGCCUACCAAGCCGACGAUCCUUAGCUGGUCUGAGAGGAUGAUCAGCCACACUGGGACUGAGACACGGCCCAGACUCCUACGGGAGGCAGCAGUGGGGAAUAUUGGACAAUGGGCGAAAGCCUGAUCCAGCAAUGCCGCGUGAGUGAUGAAGGCCUUAGGGUUGUAAAGCUCUUUUACAGGGAUGAUAAUGACAGUACCUGGAGAAUAAGCUCCGGCUAACUCCGUG
rnacentral:rRNA from 1 species